AGAGUUUGAUCCUGGCUCAGAUUGAACACUGGCGGCAUACUUUACACAUGCAAGUCGAACAGCACCACGGGUGCAUGCACCUGGUGGCUACUGGCGAACGGGUGAGUAAUGCACUGGAACGUACCCAGUAAUGUGGGUUAACACAUCGAAAGAUGUGAUAAUACCGCAUACGCCCUGAGGAGGAAGGCGGGGGUUCGUAAGACCUCGCGUUAUUGGAGCGGCCGAUGCCGGAUUAGCUAGUUGGUGAGGUAAGAGCUCACCAAGGCGACGAUCCGUAGCUGGUCUGAGAGGGCGACCAGCCACACUGGGACUGAGACACGGCCCAGACUCCUACGGGAGGCAGCAGUGGGGAAUUUUGGACAAUGGGCGCAAGCCUGAUCCAGCCAUGCCGCGUGAGUGAAGAAGGCCUUCGGGUUGUAAAGCUCUUUCGCAAGGAAAGAAAACUUAUCUACUAA
rnacentral:rRNA from 1 species